ACGGAGGAGUUUGGCACCUCGAUGUCGGCUCAUCACAUCCUGGGGCUGUAGCAGGUCCCAAGGGUAUGGCUGUUCGCCAUUUAAAGUGGUACGCGAGCUGGGUUUAGAACGUCGUGAGACAGUUCGGUCCCUAUCUGCCGUAGGCGUUGGAAAUUUGAAGGGAGCUGCUCCUAGUACGAGAGGACCGGAGUGGACGUAUCUCUGGUGUUCCGGUUGUCACGCCAGUGGCACUGCCGGGUAGCUAUAUACGGAAGGGAUAACCGCUGAAAGCAUCUAAGCGGGAAGCCCCCCCUGAGACUAGAUUUCCCUGGGGACUUGAUCCCCCUGAAGGGCUGUUGAAGACUACAACGUUGAUAGGCUGGGUGUGGAAGCGCAGUAAUGCGUGAAGCUAACCAGUACUAAUUGCCCGUGAGGCUUGGCCAU
rnacentral:rRNA from 1 species